rnacentral:rRNA from 1 species
UGGGGAGCGAACAGGAUUAGAUACCCUGGUAGUCCACGCCGUAAACGAUGGGCGCUAGUUGUGGGGACCUUCCACGGUUUCUGCGACGCAGCUAACGCAUUAAGCGCCCCGCCUGGGGAGUACGAUCGCAAGAUUAAAACUCAAAGGAAUUGACGGGGCCCCGCACAAGCAGCGGAGCAUGCGGCUUAAUUCGACGCAACGCGAAGAACCUUACCAAGGCUUGACAUAUAGGGAAAAGCGGCAGAGAUGUCGUGUCCGCAAGGGCUCUAUACAGGUGGUGCAUGGUUGUCGUCAGCUCGUGUCGUGAGAUGUUGGGUUAAGUCCCGCAACGAGCGCAACCCUCGUUCUGUGUUGCCAGCAUUUAGUUGGGGACUCACAGGAGGCUGCCGGGGUUAACUCGGAGGAAGGUGGGGAUGACGUCAAAUCAUCAUGCCCCUUAUGUCUUGGGCUGCACGCAUGCUACAAUGGCCGAUACAAAGGGCUGCGAUACCGUAAGGUGGAGCGAAUCCCAAAAAGUCGGUCUCAGUUCGGAUUGAGGUCUGCAACUCGACCUCAUGAAGUCGGAGUUGCUAGUAAUCGUAGAUCAGCAACGCUACGGUGAAUACGUUCCCGGGGCUUGUACACACCGCCCGUCACGUCACGAAAGUCGGUAGCAC